AUGUUCUCUGUAGCUCUGCUGCUGCUGGCUGCUGCGUCCUGUAUAAAGUGUGAACAGUUGACACAACCAGCCUCUGUGACUGUGCAGCCAGGUCAACGUCUGACCAUCAGCUGUCAGGUCUCUUAUGAUCUGGGCUAUGCAACACACUGGAUCAGACAGCCUGCUAGGAAAGGACUGGAGUGGAUUGGCAGGAAAUAUACUGGAGGUUCUGACUACAAAGAUUCACUUCGAAACAAAUUCAGUAUCGACUUAGACACUUCCAGUAAAACAGUGACUCUGAAUGGACAGAAUAUGCAGCUUGGAGACUCUGCUGUGUAUUUCUGUGCCAGACAGACACAGUGACACAAACCAGCUGCAUAGCCGAACAAAAACCCCUCAGAACAUGAACAGAUGAUAUCAAACCACCAAAGGAGGAGCUUUCAGUUCAUUUAUAAUCUCUGGAAACUGUCAACUUUACUUUGCUCUUUUGUAAAAACAUUG